GACCAGUACUUCCAGAUCGAACAGGCUCCCAUUUGUUUUGCAUAAUCCGAGGUGCGGACCGAUUUGUGGAUGGUUAUCCUGGUGCUGGACAGCCAGUAGAACAAACUGCAAAUUUUCUCGAGGCUUGCAUUCUACUCCUGAUCAAUUGGCAUUGCCCCUCAUGCAAUUGCUUGUGGAAAUGCAAUGCUCCACCCACGCCCUUGGACCUUCUACGGAGGAAUUACCCGGCCCUGUUUGUGACAAUGGUGUGACAAUGCCAGAUUCUUAACCAGAUGUGGUUCAGAGUACACCAACGAUGGUCAGCAUGUUCUGCAUCGUUGGCAUGGUUCAGGUCGGUUGUUUAGUCAAAUACUCCCACCGUCUCAAAAUUCUUGUCUUACAUUUGUCUAAAUACGGAUGUAUCAAGUCACGUUUUGGUAUUAGAUACAUUCGUAUCUACACAAAUCUAAGACAAGAAUUUUGGGACGGAGGGAGUAUAAAGAAUGACCGCCAUCUUUUGCAUCAGGAAAGGGCUGAUGGAAGGGCAAAGGAAAAUUUUGACCGUGAUGCUGAGCCGUAUGUUCAUGGGUGCACGUAAAUUUUAGAGUUUAUUAGAUUCCACUGGUGUUAGUCGAUUUUGAAGGCGAUUUUGUAUUCUUGUCAUUGGAAUCGUUACAUUCCUGCUGCUAUCAACUAUUUUUGCCAUUCUGGUGCACUUAUUCGUUGCCAGGAUAGCAAGAUCAGGCACACCAGGAAUGCAGCGGCGUCAGGUUGCGAUAUAUACUGUCCGUUGUUGGUUGAGCUCAGUGUGAUCUAUGCUUUGUUGCAACAGCACCCCCCGGCUUCAUACUGGGUGCUGCGCUUACUGACAGCUACUGUAAACAAUUUCCUAACCCACAAAUUGUUGCCGAGUAUACUUCUUAAUAC
rnacentral:lncRNA from 1 species